ACGGAAGGCAGCAGUGGGGAAUAUUGGGCAAUGGGCGAAAGCCUGACCCAGCAACGCCGCGUGAGGGAAGAAGGUUUUCGGAUUGUAAACCUCUGUCCUAAAUGAAAAGUAGUAGAUGGUAAUUUAGGAGGAAGCCCCGGCUAACUACGUGCCAGCAGCCGCGGUAAUACGUAGGGGGCGAGCGUUGUCCGGAAUGAUUGGGCGUAAAGGGCGCGUAGGCGGCCUGUUAAGUCUGGAGUGAAAGUCCUGUUUUUAAGAUGGGAAUUGCUUUGGAUACUGAUGGGCUUGAGUGCAGGAGAGGUUAUCGGAAUUCCCGGUGUAGCGGUGAAAUGCGUAGAGAUCGGGAGGAACACCAGUGGCGAAGGCGGGUAACUGGACUGCAACUGACGCUGAGGCGCGAAAGUGUGGGGAGCAAACAGGAUUAGAUACCCUGGUA
rnacentral:rRNA from 1 species